AAGAACUUCUGGGAAUAGGAAAAACAAGUAAUUAUAAAAACAGAAAAGGAUUAAGGAGACUGAAGGAUUGACAGCUGGAGAGAUAUUUUCCUGCGUCAGCAUGGGCAAGGACGUUGAGCAAUUUCUCUGGAGAGGACUGAUGCUACUUACUUGUUCCCCACAAGCAACCUCCCCUGCUACCUGGUACAGCUGGCCAAGCAGCUCUGCAGUAAAACCCAUCGUGAAAUCACAGAAAUAUACUGAAGAAUUCUCUGAAAUGACCACCAAUUCUGCUGUCAAACACCAGAAACUGAUGCUUGAUUAGUAAAGCUGCAGCCUGCUCAGUUCCUGCAUUCAGCUGCUGCAUCCAGAACAAGGGAGCAAGCUGGCCCCAAAGCAGUGGCCCAUCUGCCUUGGGAUUCAUGGAGGGGAGGAAGGACAGAGUUUUUUUGAUAAAGAAACUACUCAGAAUUCUGGAAUUUAUUUUAAUAUACUCCAGCUUUUUCAUUGGUAAAGACAAGAUCCCUAUUCAAAAAAUUUCUAGCAUGGAUUUUAAACUUUAAAAAAGAGUAACAAAAAGCAAACAAUGCAGAAGGAAUAGAUGAACAAAUCUGACAAUCAUAUGGUUAAUGAAAAUUUACAGAUGUCUUUGGACUUAUUUUAUUUUGUCACAUUUGUGGAAAAUUAAAUAGAGGCAAAACAAGUUAAAUAAUUCACAAAAAACCUACAUCACUGAAAGAUCCAGAGAAAGUUGUUUCAGCUGCAGUCCAGUUCAAUAGGAAGAGACAAUUCUAUUCAAGUAGAAAGGGACCAGAUGAGUCCAAAGCUUUACGAUUCUUGAAGAUUUGGAUUAUGCAAAACUUAACUCUCCUGGCAUAGUUAUUCAUUAAGUACUAGUUUUACAUCCAAAAAGAUGAUAAAAUACCAAAGAUUCAAAAUGAGAAAACAAAUAAUAACAACAACAACAUAAGAAAACCAAAAUCAAAACCAACCAAACAAAAAAACCUCCAACCUGGGUUGGAGCUGAAGAAUUGCCUUUGGUGGAACUGGGAGCAGAAUCCAGGCAUACCAGCUCCCAGCCCUCCUAAGUAUUGGACAACCUCUUUUAGCAAAUAAAUGCAGAGAGGCACUCUUUAAACAAACCUCAUAUCCUAUGCUAUGACCCAAGAUACAUACAAUACAGUGAAAUCUUGAAUAAUUUAUCUACAGUAUGAGUUCAUUAUUCAAAGACAAGCAUACCAUGCAGUUUAAUGGGAAUUUGCUUCAUUGCUUUCAGGAUCUUUCAAAUCCAUUUGUGACACAAAUACAUGCUUACUAAAACAUUCUUAAAACUUCUGAGAGAGUCAGCAUUCUUUUAGAAAGAAAAUGCCUGAUUCCUUUCUUCACUUUCUGAAGUUCA